UAAAUUAGAAGAAUUUAAAUUAAAUAACACGAAGUUGAAGGAGCUACUUAUUAUUUACUUAUAGGUAAGAGAUGUUGCAAAAUCGAGAGUAAUAAUAAUUAGGAGUGAUAGGCUUAUCAUAUUCAACGAUAACUUGAUGAUUUAGAAAUGUACUAGUACGAAGGCAUUCUUGAAGUGAUAAGGUUUCAGGGAAAGACAAAUUGGUAAAUUUAUUUUGUAUCUUAUUUAAUCAUAAAUGCAGUAUUAAUUUAAUAUUAAAUUAAUAGAGAUUGUUAAAAUUAUAAAUCGGUUUAAAAAUUUUUUUGUAUAUUUUUAAUGUUUAUAUUAGUAUCUUAGAAAUAUUAAUAAUGAACUCGGCAAAAAGCCUUUCAACUGUUUAUCAAAAACAUAGCUGUAUGUAUUAAUAUAUAGUAAUUUCUGCUCAAUGAACAAUUAAAUAGCCGCAGUACCCUGACUGUGCUAAGGUAGCGCAAUCAAUUGACUUUUAAAUGGAGUCCAGUAUGAAGGAAACUAUGAAGGGUUACUUUAUCUUUAGUAAUUAUUGAAUUUACUUAGGAAGUGAAAAUUCUUCCAGAUAAUUAAAAGACGAGAAGACCCUAGAAAUUUUAAAGAAGUGAUUUUUUGUUGGGGCAACAAAGUAGUAAAUAAUCUACUUAAAUGACAAGAAAUUAAUAUUUAGUAAGAUUAAAUUACUCUAGGGAUAACAGCAUAAUUUGCGAAAGUUUGUGACCUCGAUGUUGGAUUAGGGAAUUUACAUUUAGAAG
rnacentral:rRNA from 1 species